UACGGAGGGGCUAGCGUUGUUCGGAAUUACUGGGCGUAAAGCGCACGUAGGCGGAUCAGUCAGUUAGAGGUGAAAGCCCAGGGCUCAACCCUGGAACUGCCUUUAAUACUGCUGGUCUGGAGUCCGAGAGAGGUGAGUGGAAUUCCGAGUGAUAGAGGUGAAAUUCGUAAGAUAUUCGGCGGAACACCGAGUGGCGAAGGCGACUCACUGGCCGAUACUG
rnacentral:rRNA from 1 species